UACAGAGGGGGCAAGCGUUGUUCGGAAUUACUGGGCGUAAAGGGCGCGUAGGCGGCCUGCUAAGUCGAACGUGAAAUCCCUGGGCUCAACCCAGGAACUGCGUCCGAUACUGGUUGGCUUGAAUCCGGGAGAGGGAUGUGGAAUUCCAGGUGUAGCGGUGAAAUGCGUAGAUAUCGAGAGGAACACCGGUGGCGAAGGCGAGUCUCUGGACCAUUCCUGACACUGAGGCACGAAAGCCGGGGGAGCAAACAGG
rnacentral:rRNA from 1 species